ACAAGGUGGUGAGCCAGGAGCAGCUUGCUGCAGUGGGGUGAAAAACUUGAAAGGAAUGGCUGCAACCACAGAUGAUAGAAGGACAGCUUGUAACUGUGUUAAGGCAGCAGCCAACCGUUACACAAACCUUAAAGAUGAUGCUGCUCAGGCUCUUGCUUCUAAGUGUGGUGUCGCCAUGGACAUCCCCGUCUCCAAGACCAUCAAUUGUGAUGCAAUCAGUUAUUAAUGAGCAGCACGGUGUCAGGAAUAAUGCCAAGGAGAUGGCCAUGAUAUGUUGCUUCUAUUAGAUAUAUGUUGAGUAAUAGUUUUCUCGAGGGAACGUUUAUGUUCUGUUGUACAAUUACUAUGCAGUAAUAUACUACUAUAGUGCUCCCUUUUUGUCAA